rnacentral:rRNA from 1 species
AAACAAGUAUUAAAGGUCCCGCCUGCCCAGUGAGUUAUUUAAACGGCCGCGGUAUCCUAACCGUGCAAAGGUAGCGUAAUCACUUGUCUUCUAAAUAAAGACUAGUAUGAACGGCUAAAUGAGGACAAAACUGUCUCUUGCAGCUAAUCAGUGAAACUGAUCUCCCAGUACAAAAGCUGGGAUAAAACCAUAAGACGAGAAGACCCUGUGGAGCUUUAAACUAACCACUAAUAAGCAUUUACAGUAAUGUAACUAGUCCAAAGUUUUAAGUUGGGGCGACUUCGGAACAAAGUUAAACUUCCGAGCACAGAACCACCACUUCUCACCAAGGCCAACAAGCCAAAGCAAAGCCCGACCCAGUCACACUGAUCAACGAACCAAGUUACCCCAGGGAUAACAGCGCUAUCUUCUUCAAGAGUCCCUAUCGACAAGAAGGUUUACGACCUCGAUGUUGGAUCAGGACACCCCAAUGGUGCAGCCGCUAUUAAAGGUUCGUUUGUUCAACGAUUUACAG